UUCUUUAUGCAGCUUCUUCUUUGUGUUCUCUUUUUCCAUCCACUUAAAUCAGACAGUUUGUGAUAACCAAACAAAAGACACGAAGGAUGGGAUCCGUUUCACUGCGUCCAGCGUGGAAGGAGUGGUUGUAUGAUCUCAGGUGGACAGAAGCAGAACAAUGGUGAGAUGCUGCCACAAACAGGAUGCAAGGGGCCACACGUCAGAGGGGUAAACACCAGCUGCUGUCAUAUGUGGGAUUGUGCUUCCUCCCAGCCUGGACCCGACCCGGCCGGUCCAGACAGAAGCAGGUGACCUUCAGGUGACUUUCUGCUCCUCUGGACCGGCCGAACCAGCAGAGUGGAUGCAAAUAAUGACCCCUGAACACUUGCUCGUGAACGUCUAUGGCCCCCUGCGGUGCGUUAAUCCCUCUGAAGCCCUCAAUGGGAGUUCAGCCGGCCUGGUGGAGACGAGCCAGACGGUGAUGGGCCUGACAGCACCAACACAGCUGCCCCGCCGGCUCCGGGGUCAACGCUCAGGCGCUCUCUUGGCGCUCUUUCACACAUUUCUUGACCCCUCAGAGGAUGAAAAUCCUCAACUUGGCCCCGCGGUGGAGUUCUUCAGAAACCCAGCUCUGACGGUGAACAUGGUGUGCCGGUCAGUGAUCCGAAGGCAGCGGCUGGUGCAUGUGAAUCUGCUUCAUUAAAGGCAGGACCACACAAGACUGUUUUGCUGUAUUUCCAUAAACAUUUGAAAUAAAAGGAAACAUCAAUCAAAAGUUGGAGAUUAAAGUUUGAUUUUACACAAACAAAGGCUCAGAGCUGCUUAACCAGAGUCGUCACAGAGAGAAAAAAGGCCCUUUUGUUUUUCAGAUGUGGAAUUAGGAGCUGAGAAUUGUUGGACUCCUUCAGAUGGAUCACAUUCCAACAGAAUACAACAACAA